rnacentral:rRNA from 1 species
CCUACGGGUGGCUGCAGUGGGGAAUAUUGCACAAUGGGGGAAACCCUGAUGCAGCGACGCCGCGUGAGUGAAGAAGGACUUCGGUAUGUAAAGCUCUAUCAGCAGGGAAGAAAAUGACCGUACCUGAUUAACAAUCCCCUGCUAACUACGUCACAGCAGCCACCGUAAUACGUAGGGGGCAAGCGUUAGCCGGUUUUACUGGGUGUAAAGGGAGCGUAGACGGCAGUGCAAGUCUGGAGUGAAAGGCGGGGGCUCAACCCGCGGACUGCUCUGGAAACUGUACGGCUGGAGUGCAGGAGAGGGAAGUGGAAUUCCUAGUGUAGCGGUGAAAUGCGUAGAUAUUAGGAGGAACACCAGUGGCGAAGGCGGCUUACUGGAACGUAACUGACGUUGAGGAUCGAAAGCGUGGGGAGCAAACAGGAUUAGAUACCCGAGUAGUC